rnacentral:misc_RNA from 1 species
GAUGAAGAACGCAGCGAAAUGCGAUAAGUAAUGUGAAUUGCAGAAUUCAGUGAAUCAUCGAAUCUUUGAACGCACAUUGCGCCCGGCAGUACUCUGCCGGGCAUGCCUGUUCGAGCGUCAUUUCAACCCUCAAGCCCUGCUUGGUGUUGGGGCCCCACGGCUGCCGUGGGCCCUGAAAGGAAGUGGCGGGCUCGCUACAACUCCGAGCGUAGUAAUUCAUUAUCUCGCUUAGGGCGUUGGGCGGCGCUCCAGCCGUUAAAGAACCAUCUUUAACUCAAGGUUGACCUCGGAUCAGGUAGGAAUCCCCGCUGAACUUAAGCAUAUCAAUAAGCGGAGGA